GAUGAACGCUGACAGAAUGCUUAACACAUGCAAGUCAACUUGAACUUCGGUUUGGGUGGCGGACGGGUGAGUAACGCGUAAAGAACUUGCCUCACAGAUAGGGACAACAUUUGGAAACGAAUGCUAAUACCUGAUAUUAUGAUUAUAUGGCAUCGUAUAAUUAUGAAAGCUAUAUGCGCUGUGAGAGAGCUUUGCGUCCCAUUAGCUAGUUGGAGAGGUAACGGCUCACCAAGGCGAUGAUGGGUAGCCGGCCUGAGAGGGUGAUCGGCCACAAGGGGACUGAGACACGGCCCUUACUCCUACGGGAGGCAGCAGUGGGGAAUAUGGGACAAUGGACCAAGAGUCUGAUCCAGCAAUUCUGUGUGCACGAUGAAGUUUUUCGGAAUGUAAAGUGCUUUCAGUUGGGAAGAAAAAAAUGACGGUACCAACAGAGGAAGUGACGGCUAAAUACGUG
rnacentral:rRNA from 1 species